ACAAACACAGUCCCCACCCCCAAAGGCACAGGUAGGAAGACAAGCCAUCGGGCACCCUCACUGUCAUGUGCCAUGUAAAUCUCAGCAGGAGGCUCCAUGGAGGCUUUCCUGAGAAAAAUAGCUAAAUUGAGAAUGUAGGAACAAGAAAUGAUGACUCAGGUGAAGGAACCAAGAAAGGAGGGGGAGAAAAAAAAGGCCUUCUGGGCAGAACGUAUGCAAAGGUCCAGAGAUGAAAGAGUGUGACAUCUUUCUGCAAACAGUUGAGCAAGACCAUGGAGGCCAAAAGAUGAGAGAGACAUCUCAGCAGUAAGAAAUCUGUGGCAAGUCAUACAGUGAGUAGUAGUAAGGGCUCGGACUUGAACUCAUCACUGUCUCCAAGGCACAUGCUUUCCCCUUUAUCCCUUUGCCAGGCCCACAUUUUCUCCUAAUGCUGAACUUAGCUGUGGCCUCCAUUACUCUUAUCUAUGUAAACAAGCAAGGCAAGGUCUAUAAGAAGGGACUGGAAGGGUCCCUGGAAGGAAAUGUAGACACAGUGGAGACACACAGAGCUUCUGUGCCUUUGAGGGGUGCUUCUUGGUUGCAGGGAAGGCAGGGGGUUCAACCUAUGAUGCUUACUUCACCUCUGCAUGCUAAAACUGUGCAGAUUGCUGCUAGCACUCCAGAGGUCUCUAAUCGCUAAUCAAGAAGACACAGGGUGACUCCCUUGGUGAACCAAAGGGGUUCAUUUUCCAGGCUGUUGGCAAGAAAUCAUACCUGGGCCCUACUCUCUUCUUGCAAGUACAACAAGGAGACAUCAAAAUAAAGAGUGCCUAGCACUAGAAGAUUAAACUCCAAGGAAGGGGAAAGGUCUUGUUGGUGUUUUGGAAACAAACAAAACAAAAAACAAAAAAAACAAAACAAAACAAAAAAACAAAACCAAAAAAAAAAAAAAAAGGAGAAUUAUAUAUAAGAUGUAUGCCUCCUUACAUUAUUAAAAGAAAGCUGAGAACAAGUGAAAUUCAGAGUUUGGGAGAUAUCUGCUGGGGCCUUCACAGACUAUAGGAUUCACCCUCAUGGCACUUCCUGGCAUGGAGUCUAGCGUUAAGGACUAGAUCAGACGCCCAUGAAAAUGACUUUUGUGCUAUGCACUCAUCUGCAUUUUAUAGGCCAGUGUCCUUGUUCUAAUAGGACAAGUUCCUGGAGUCCCACUCAUUUAAUAUUUGUGAAGAUGUAUUACGUAAACUCAAUUUCUGGCUGAACGUUCAACGAGGGCCCAUAGUCUCACUGCCCCUGAUAGUUAAUACUAAGUUGUACGUUAUCAGGUUUCAGACUUAUUACUUCAGUUUGCUUUAUAGGCUUUGUUGCCACAGAUCCACAUCAGUUUCCCUGUGGCUUUAUCCCCACGGCAGUUUUUUAAAUCCACUGUUACUUUACCCCAUGGUAAGAAAUGCCUCAUGGUGUUACAAACAAGCAGUUGAAAAUUGUUAUUUAUGUGGCUCCCUAAUAGCAAUUUGAAAUAUAGGGCAUAAAAUUACUAACUUACAAUACUGUUCAAUAUUAACAGUGGGAAAGGUAAUGUGUUAAACAGACAUUAAAGGAUUAGCUGUAAAAUACAUUUCACUAAGCUAAAUCAUUUCUUGGCAAAUGGCAGUUUUCAGCUAUUACGUAGGAUUUAUCAAGUCAAGUGGAUUUAUUUUUAUUUUUCUAUUAGUUUGCUAAAUAUAUUCUAUAUUUAAAUUUCAAUCUUGUGGAUUUUUUUCCCCGGCAUAUUAAGAGAGGCUGUUGAAAACAGAAUGUGAAAUAGAAGUGAUGCCAGACUUUCAAGUCAAAAUCGCUCCUUGGUUUCUCCAGCAAAUCGACUAAAGACUCAAACGUAACAUCCAAGAGAAAAGUAAAUGGAUAUGAUUUUACAAACAUUUGUAUGACAGAUUAGGGAGUUACAAGUGCAUCAGAGAAUACAGUAAAAAGGCAUGUUCUCCACAAGACAUGAAACAGUGUUUCUACUCUUUUUCUUUCUUUUUUUUUUUUUUUUUUGCUUCAGACAACACUUUGUUCUAAUCAAGCAUGUUCAGUAAACGUUUAUGUAUUUGUGAAUCAGGCACGGAGGAAGAAGGUGGAAAGAGAAAUUCCUAAUCUCCCAGGGUGGAAAUUGUGAAGUAUUAAAUGGAUAUCCGAUGCAUAAAUACAAAUAACAUAAUCUCUCUAUUUUCUUCUGAGACAGUCACCAGUUACAAUAAUCCUAAAAUUAUCCUAUCUUCUCAAAUCCCUCAAGAUUUAUUAAUUUUCAUAAACUGCUUUGAUGGAAACUUUCUUAAAAGAUGCAAAGUAACCUUUCUCGAGCUCUCCUUAUACUUCAGAUCAUGGACAGCAUUUUCAACCUCAGAAUACCAAAAGAAGAUUGCCCAUAUCCUGGAAAAUGCUCCUGCCUGGACAGGAAACAUGGGAGGAAUCCCUUGCUGAGACAUCAAGAUGGCUCCAGGUGAAAAUGGAUGGAGCUGACCAUGGGAAAUAUACUGGAAAUUCUUAAAGCAUUAUAUGGAAUCGUCUCUACAGAUAGCCCUUCAUCAAAAAACCUGAAAACAUUAACAGACUGUGGGUAGUGCAUCUGUUUAAAUUCAAGAAUAAAGAAGACUGUGUCAGCCUCA